CCUACGGGAGGUAGCAGUGAGGAAUAUUGGUCAAUGGGCGCGAGCCUGAACCAGCCAAGUAGCGUGAAGGAUGACUGCCCUACGGGUUGUAAACUUCUUUUAUAAAGGAAUAAAGUGAGGCACGUGUGCCUUUUUGUAUGUACUUUAUGAAUAAGGAUCGGCUAACUCCGUGCCAGCAGCCGCGGUAAUACGGAGGAUCCGAGCGUUAUCCGGAUUUAUUGGGUUUAAAGGGAGCGUAGAUGGGUUGUUAAGUCAGUUGUGAAAGUUUGCGGCUCAACCGUAAAAUUGCAAUUGAUACUGGCAGCCUUGAGUGGGCGAGAAGAAGGCGGAAUGCGUGGGGUAGCGGUGAAAUGCAUAGAUAUCACGCAGAACCCCGAUUGCGAAGGCAGCCUUCCGGCGCCCGACUGACGCUGAGGCACGAAAGUGCGGGGAUCGAACAGGAUUAGAUACCCGGGUAGUC
rnacentral:rRNA from 1 species